UCUCUUGAGAGCCAUAUGGAAGGAAUUGAUGUUCAAAAUGGCCUUCUUGUGGCCUCAAGAUGUC
rnacentral:pre_miRNA from 1 species